ensembl:snRNA U6 U6 spliceosomal RNA
NNGAGAAGAUUAGCAUGUCCCCUGCGCAAGGAUGACACACAAAUUCGUGAAGCGUUCUGUAUUUUC